rnacentral:rRNA from 1 species
AUUGAACGCUGGCGGCAUGCCUUACACAUGCAAGUCGAACGGUAGAGGGGGCGACCCCUUGAGAGUGGCGAACGGGUGAGUAAAGCAUCGGAACGUGCCCAGUAGUGGGGGAUAGCCCGGCGAAAGCCGGAUUAAUACCGCAUACGACCUACGGGUGAAAGGGGGGGAUCGCAAGACCUCUCGCUAUUGGAGCGGCCGAUGUCAGAUUAGGUAGUUGGGGGGGUAAAGGCCUACCAAGCCGACGAUCUGUAGCUGGUCUGAGAGGACGCCCAGCCACACUGGGACUGAGACACGGCCCAGACUCCUACGGGAGGCAGCAGUGGGGAAUUUUGGACAAUGGGCGCAAGCCUGAUCCAGCCAUGCCGCGUGCGGGAAGAAGGCCUUCGGGUUGUAAACCGCUUUUGUCAGGGAAGAAAUCCUUUGAGCUAAUACCUCGGGGGGAUGACGGUACCUGAAGAAUAAGCACCGGCUAACUACGUGCCAGCCGCCGCAGUAACAC